rnacentral:rRNA from 1 species
AAACCAGCACCUCAAGUGGUCAGGAGGAUUAUUGGGCCUAAAGCAUCCGUAGCCUGUUCUAUAAGUUUCCGGUUAAAUCCACUAGCUCAACUAGUGGGCUGCCGAAAAUACUGUAGAACUAGGGAGUGGGAGAGGUAGACGGUAUUCGGUAGGAAGGGGUAAAAUCCUUUGAUCUAUUGAGGACCACCUGUGGCGAAGGCGGUCUACCAGAACACGUUCGACGGUGAGGGAUGAAAGCUGGGGGAGCCAACCAGAUUAGAAACCCGGUAGUCC